AAAAGCUCAACUUUGAAAUCUGGCACCUUCGGUGUCCGAAUUGUAGUCUCUAGAAGUGUCUUCCGUGCUGGCCCAUGUGUGAGUCUGUUGGAACACAGCGUCAUAGAGGGUGACAACCCCGUUCAUAACAUGGACCCCAGUGCUUUGUGAUACACUCUCGACGAGUCGAGUUGUUUGGGAAUGCAGCUCAAAUUGGGUGGUAAAUUCCAUCUAAAGCUAAAUAUUGGCGAGAGACCGAUAGCAAACAAGUACCGUGAGGGAAAGAUGAAAAGCACUUUGGAAAGAGAGUUAACAGUACGUGAAAUUGUUGAAAGGGAAACGAUUGAAGUCAGACGUGCGUGGUGCGGUUCAGCUCUGGUUCGCCAGAGUGUAUUCCGUGCCUUUGCAGGCCAACAUCGGUUUCACGAGGCGGAUAAAGGCUUGAGAAAUGUGGCACCUUCGGGUGUGUUAUAGUCUCUUGCUGAAUACGCCUCGAGGGACCGAGGAACGCAGCGCGCCGCAAGGCAAAGACUCCGGUCUUUUC
rnacentral:rRNA from 1 species